UACGGAGGGUGCAAGCGUUAUCCGGAAUCACUGGGCGUAAAGGGCGCGUAGGCGGCUCGGUAAGUAGGGGGUGAAAUCCUGCGGCUUAACCGCAGGGCUGCCUUCUAAACUGUCGAGCUCGAGCACGGUAGAGGCAGAUGGAAUUCCCGGUGUAGCGGUGGAAUGCGUAGAGAUCGGGAAGAACAUCAGUGGCGAAGGCGGUCUGCUGGGCCGUUGCUGACGCUGAGGCGCGACAGCGUGGGGAGCAAACAGG
rnacentral:rRNA from 1 species